rnacentral:ribozyme from 13 species
UAACUUUCUACUUCACUAAUAUUGGUCAUUUUUGCCUUUUCGACGUCUUUUUCUGAGAAGUAUUUGAAGAGAGGGAGGAGAGGGAGGAGAGCUAUGUAUUGGAAGAUUCCUGUGAUAAGAAGAGAGAAACCAUAACCUUUCCAGUCAAUGAGAUAUCCUCCUACCAUCGCACUCCCAAGAAAAGAGAAUGACGAAAAGCUUUCAACAGCAUUCCAU